rnacentral:tRNA from 1 species
GGGGAUUUAGCUCAGUGGUAAAGCGCUUGCCUAGCAAGCACAAGGCCCUGGGUUCGGUCCCCAGCUCCCCA